GGCCAGAUAGCUCAGUCGGUAGAGCAACGGACUGAAAAUCCGUGUGUCCCCAGUUCGAAUCUGGGUCUGGCCACCA
rnacentral:tRNA from 1 species